rfam:Neurospora crassa OR74A unplaced genomic scaffold supercont12.9, whole genome shotgun sequence.
UAUUUAGUUAAUUCUAUUAGUAGUUAUAUAUUUAUUUUAAAGAUUAAAUUAUAUAUAUUUAAAUUUAAAUAAUUAAAUUGUGAAAUUGCGAAUGGCUUAUUAAAUUAGUUAUAGUUUAUUUGAUAGUACUUUACUAUAUAGAUAACCGUAGUAAUUCUAGAAUUAAUAUAUAUUAAAAACCCCGAUUUCGGAAGGGGUAUAUUUAUUAAAUUAAAAACCAAUACCCUUCGGGGCUAAUUAAUAAUUUAUAAUAACUUUUCGAAUCGUAUAGCCUUAUACUAACGAUAGUUUAUUUAAAUUUUUACUUUAUUAACUUUCAACAGUUAAAUUUUAGCUAGCUAUAGUAAUAAUAAGUAACGGAGGGUUAGGGCUCAACUCCGGAGAAGGAGCUUGAAAAAUAGCUAUUAUAUUUAAGGAAGGUAAUAGGCGUACAAAUUACCUAAUUCUAAUAUAAGGAGGUAGUAAUAAUAAAUAUUAAUAUAAGGCUCUUUUAGAUUUUAUAAUUAGAAUAAAUAUAAUUUAAAUCCCUUAACGAGGAAUAAUUGGAGGGCAAAUUUAAUACUAGUAGCCGCAGUAAUUCUAACUUUAAUAGCGUAUAUUAAAGUUAUUAAAGUUAAAAAGCUUAUAAUUGAACCUUAGGCUCGGCCCGUCGGUCCGCCUCACCGUAUAUAUUAAUUAGGUCGGGCCUUUUUUCCUAGAGAACCGUAUACCCUUUACUAGGUAUGUCGGGGAAUUAGGACUUUUACUAUAAAUAAAUUAAAUCGUUUAAAGAAGGCCUAUAUUCGAAUAUAUUAGUAUAGAAUAAUAGAAUAGGAUAUAUAGUUCUAUUUUAUUAGUUUCUAAGACCGCUAUAAUAAUUAAUAGGGAUAAUCGGGGGUAUUAGUAUUUAAUUAUCAAAGGUAAAAUUCUUAAAUUUAUUAAAGACUAACUACUAUAAAAGUAUUUACUAAGGAUAUUUUUAUUAAUCAGGAAUGAAAAUUAGGGGAUCGAAGAUAAUCAAAUACCGUUAUAGUUUUAAUUAUAAAUUAUACUAAUUAAGGAUCGGAUAGUAUUAUUUUUUAACCCGUUCGGCACCUUAUAAUAAAUUAAAAUAUUUAGGCUCCUAAAGGAAUAUAGUUAUAAGGCUAAAAUUUAAAGAAAUUAAUGGAAGGGUACUAUUAAGGGUAGAGCUUAUAGUUUAAUUUAAUUUAAUACGGGGAAACUCACUAGGUUUAAAUAUAAUAAGGAUUAAUAAAUUGAAAAUUCUUUUUUAAUUUCGUAAAUAGUAGUAUAUAGCUAUUCUUAAUUAAUAAAGUAAUUUAUUUACUUAAUUGCAAUAACGAACGAAACUUUAACCUACUAAAUAACUUAUAUUACUUUAGUAAUAUAUUAAUUUCUUAAAGGGACUAUUAAUUUAAACUAAUAAAAGUUUAAGGUAAUAAUAGGUUUGUAAUACCCUUAAAUAUUUUAGGCUAUAUACGUACUAUAUUAAUAUAGCUAACAAAUACUCCUUUAAUUGGAAGGUCCGGGUAAUCUUAUUAAAUUAUAUUAUAUUAGGGAUAGAGUAUUACAAUUAUUACUCUUUAAUAAGGAAUCCCUAAUAAAUAUAAAUUAUUAACUUAUAUUAAUUAUAUCCCUGCCCUUUGUAUAUACCGCCCGUCGCUACUAUUAAUUAAAUAGUUUAAUAAGGCUUCCGGAUUAGUUUAGGGAGGUUAGUAAUAAUUAUUUAAGGCCGGAAAGUUAUUUAAAUUCAAUUAUUUAGAGGAAGUAAAAGUUGUAAUAAGGUCUCCGUUAGUAAAUUAGCGGAGGAAUUAUUA